GCCGAUAACAAGGGUACACACGAUAAGCUUCUACACGUCGUAUCAGACGAUUACACUACAGGCAAACAUGAACACGUGGCGAUCAACGAAACAGAGAGUACGAUAUUUACACUCACCAAUCGGUGACUUUAGCAACCGCUUAACGAUGUUUGCUCCUUGUCUCACCACUGUAGAGCCUUCGGAAUCAAAAACAAAAUCACAGAUUAGAAAUCAAAAAGUUAAUACAAUCUUACAGAUCUAAAACAACAUCGAAGAAAUUAAAAUUCGAUUGUUUCAGAAGAACAUAAAGAAGUUGAGAUGAUCAUGAAGUUGACUGUAGAACAGAUUACCAGUCGUAAACAGUUGGAGAUCCGACGGUGCUAGGAUUGUCGAAGUAAUUAGAUCCGACGCUCUUGGUAGCAAGGUUACUACCGGGAUUAAACACGCUCCUCCACACAUUAUCCUUACGCGCCGCCGUUGGCGACGGAGUUGUUGGAGUUCCUGGCGUCGUUGGAGUCGGCGGCAUCGAUAGAGACUUCUGGAACUUGCUGCUUCCUUCUCCUAGAGGUCACAGAUUUUAAUAUAACAGUCAGAUCUAAGUUUCAAAUCAGUCGAUUAAAUCAGCGUAGGAGUUGCAACAUGUUUAAAUUGAUUAACUGUGAGAAUUUGGAACGAUUUAAUUUUGAUUUUGAUUAACAUGAUCGUGCUUAAACAUAUGUGAAACGACGCAUGUGUAAUGAAUAAUUAAUAUAGAUGCAUGGAGAUUGGAGAAAUCAGUAAUUCAGUAUCACCACCUUU
rnacentral:lncRNA from 1 species